ensembl:snRNA U2 U2 spliceosomal RNA
AUCACUCCUCUGCCUCCGGGCUAAGAUGGAGUGAAGCUUCUGUUGUUAUCAGUAUGAUAUCUGAUUCGUCCCAUGUAUGGGGACCAAGUAUUCAAUGGACUUGGGAGACAAACUAAGCGUGGCACAAAAAGUAAGGAAAUGUGUGUUUGGUAGAUUAUUUCUUUGUUGUAACAAUGCUUCUUGGCAAUAAAUCUUAUA